GCCCACAUCGUAUAAUGGUAUUGCACCGGUCUAGAAAACCGGGCCUUCGGGCAUCCCGGUUCGAUUCCGGGUGUGGGCG
rnacentral:tRNA from 1 species